AUUGAACGCUGGCGGCGUGCCUAAUACAUGCAAGUAGGACGCAGUUGCGAACGGGAGAGAAACGCGUAGGUAACUACCUAUUAGAGGGGGAUAACUAUUGGAAACGAUAGCUAAUACCGCAUACUAGUAGAUGGACCUGCGUUGUAUUAGCUAGUAGGUAGGGUAAUGGACUACCUAGGCAACGAUACAUAGCCGACCUGGGAGGAUGGUCGGCCAAACUGGGACUUAGACACGGCCCAGACUCCUACGGGAGGCAGCAGUGGGGAAACUUCGGAAAUGGGGGGAACCCUGACCGAGCAACGCCGCGGGAGUGAAGAAGGUUUUCGGAUCGUAAAGCUCUGUUGUUCAGGAAGCGGUACUUAACCAGAAAGGGACGGCUAACUACGUGCCAGCAGCCGCGGUAAUUC
rnacentral:rRNA from 1 species